GAUCCCAUUGGAUAUGUCAUUUGACCAAUAGGGAUGAAGAUUUUCACCCCUUGCCUUCAUGCAACCAUACCUUGUUUUUAUCCUUUCCAAUAAGCCUCCUAAUAGUUUAGACUUUCAUCUUUAGACUCCAACCUUCUCUUAAGUUUUAUACUAAAUAUCUAAAUCUCAUAUAAUUUAAAUAUUAUAAUAAAAAUAGGUAAAAUUCAAAUUAAAGUUUCUUAUAUCCACUCUCUUUAUAUUAAUUUAUUAACCAUUCUAACACACAUCAAGACUUAUGAGCAUAAAAUAUUUUUUAACUAAUUUUUACAUACUAUAAGCAAUUAUGAUACGACACUGCCACCAUAGUACUUUCUUUUAAUCCUUUGCUAUUUUUUGACUAUUAACAACUUAUUAUGAUUAAUCUUCAUGUAGUGAUAACUAAGUAAGAACUUGAUGUUCUUCAUCAACUUCAAAUUUAUCUCCAAAGGUGUUCUAAUGGACUUGUAUUCCUCCAUGUUGAAUCGUUUCAAUACUUCUUCAAUUUACU
rnacentral:lncRNA from 1 species